rnacentral:lncRNA from 1 species
UCCUACUACCAUCUCUCUUUUCGUUUUCCACAUCCUCUUCCUUUGUCCUCCUGUCCUGUCUGUUCUGACUGGUAAUUUUCUAUCAUCUACUUCAGAUGGCCGUUAAGUGCUGUUUUGUAGUGGUGUAGUAGCUGUUGGAUUUCAUUAUAAAUGUGUUCAAUUGUAUUCUAGCAUUGUGAUAUUUGUGUCACUCAGUAAUGGCUGAGGGCAUUACGUGCAAGUAAAUAAGGCUGGAAUGAAAAGAAAAUAUUACACAAUGGAAUGUUAUGCGAUAUAAAAGUAAGGAGUGGUGGGUGCCAAAUCGAAGUCCCCACUGAUGACAAGGGGAAGUUCUAAUCCGACUUUUCUUUACCUCAGAUCAAGAAACAAAAGGUCUAACAUGAUUUUGGCUCUUUACAUAUAUUUACAUGAUAAAACUAUGAUUCCUAUUUCUAUUCUUUAAGUCAGUCGUUUAACAUAAAGUCCAACUUUAGAAAUGAGAAGUUAACAUAUUUAUUAAAAAAACAUUAUAUAUAAAUAGCUCUAGUUAAAUUCAAAGCUGAACUAAUUUUGUUCUUCUAUAUAUUUACUUUUUAUACAAUCUGAGCAGUUAUUUUUCAAUUCUGGCAAUUAUUACUGUUGUGUUCAAGUUGCAAUUUAUAUAAAUAACAUUGUCAAACUUUGAGCAGUUGUCAUAAUUUUGACUGUAAUAUACUAUAUAAUUAUGUUGCAAGUCUGCAUCAUUCCUUUUUUAUUCACUUUUUAUGUACAAAAUUAAUAAAUUGUUUAAUGAUCUGUUAUAACAGUGAAACCUAGGGAAACUUUCUUUAUCAUGCUGACAUCUUAGCAGUUUCUAUAUUUCUGGCAUGUAUUGCUUUAUUGUCUAGGUUACCAUUUAUAUAACUUGCAUUGCCAUACUAUGAGUAGAUGCCUUAAAUUUGAUUGUAAUUACUGUAUGUUAUGUUGCUGUAAUUCUACAUGAUUUCUUUUUGUUUGUGCAAAAAUGUAAACAGUUAUCAUAAUUCUGCCUAUUGUUGCUCUUGUGGUCAGGUUGCGAUUUAUAAAAACGACAUUGCCAAACCUUGAGCAGUUGUCAUAAUAUUUUGACUGUAUAAUGCUAUAUAAUAAUGUUGCAAGUCAGCAUCAUUCCUGUUUUAUUCACUAAUGUCUGAGCAUUUGUUACUAUUGUGUACAAGUUGCCAUUUAAAUUACUGACGUUGAUAAACUGUGAAAGUUGUAAUAAAUUUGAAUGUAUUACUGUAUAGUUAUAUUGUUUUUCUGGAUAAUUACUUUUUUAAUAACGUUAAAUCAGAGUUGUUGAUAUAUUUCUGGUAUGUAUUAAUUUGGUGUUCAGGUUGCCAUUUAUAUAACUGACAUUGCCAAACUAUGAUCAGAUGCCAUACAUUUUAUUGUUAUACUGUAUAGUUACAUUGCCGUAAUUCUAGAUUAUUUGUUUUUGGUUGGGCAAAAAUCUGAACAGUUGUCAUAAUUCUGGCAAUUAUUAUUCUUGUGUUUAGCUUGCGAUUUAUACGAAUGACAUUGCCAAACUCUGAGCAGUUGUCAUAAUUUUGAAUGUAAUAUUAAAUAAUUAUGUGCCA